UGUUGUUAAGUUUAUAUCAAUACCAUUAUUAACUAUGUCCUAAUUGCAAUGCAGCAGUGUACCAAGAAAUCACACAGACAUUAAAAUCUUCUUUAAAACUCCUCAGGUUGACUGCUUCGAUCAUCAUUUCAGCGGCUCCCACGAGCUCAUUGGAAGCUUUAAAACAACACUGGCCGAGAUGCAAGCUGGAACACACGUUUCUCCAGCUGAAUUUGAGUGCAUCAACCCCAAAAAGUCGAAGAAGAAAAAAUAUAAGAACUCUGGUGUUAUUUGCAUCAGACGCUGCCAGCUUAUAAAAGAGUUCACCUUUCUGGACUAUAUCAUGGGAGGUUGUCAGCUGAACUUUACU